CCUACGGGGGGCUGCAGUAGGGAAUAUUGGGCAAUGGGCGCAAGCCUGACCCAGCCAUGCCGCGUGAAGGACGAAGGUGCUCAGCAUUGUAAACUUCUUUUCUCCGAGAAUAAGGGCUUUGUAACUCAAGGCAUUGAAGGUAUCGGAGGAAUAAGCACCGGCAAACUACGUGCCAGCAGCCGCGGUAAUACGUAGGGUGCAAGCGUUGUCCGGAUUUACUGGGUUUAAAGGGUGCGUAGGCGGUUUGAUCAGUCGGUGAUGAAAUGCAGGAGCUC
rnacentral:rRNA from 1 species